CGAACGAACUCUGGUAUUGAUUGGUGCUUGCAUCAUGAUUUACAUUUGAGUGAGUGGCGAACUGGUGAGUAACACGUGGGAAACCUGCCCAGAAGUGGGGGAUAACACCUGGAAACAGAUGCUAAUACCGCAUAACAACUUGGACCGCAUGGUCCGAGUUUGAAAGAUGGCUUCGGCUAUCACUUUUGGAUGGUCCCGCGGCGUAUUAGCUAGAUGGUGGGGUAACGGCUCACCAUGGCAAUGAUACGUAGCCGACCUGAGAGGGUAAUCGGCCACAUUGGGACUGAGACACGGCCCAAACUCCUACGGGAGGCAGCAGUAGGGAAUCUUCCACAAUGGACGAAAGUCUGAUGGAGCAACGCCGCGUGAGUGAAGAAGGGUUUCGGCUCGUAAAACUCUGUUGUUAAAGAAGAACAUAUCUGAGAGUAACUGUUCAGGUAUUGACGGUAUUUAACCAGAAAGCCACGGCUAACUACGUGCCAGCAGCCGCGGUAAUACGUAGGUGGCAAGCGUUGUCCGGAUUUAUUGGGCGUAAAGCGAGCGCAGGCGGUUUUUUAAGUCUGAUGUGAAAGCCUUCGGCUCAACCGAAGAAGUGCAUCGGAAACUGGGAAACUUGAGUGCAGAAGAGGACAGUGGAACUCCAUGUGUAGCGGUGAAAUGCGUAGAUAUAUGGAAGAACACCAGUGGCGAAGGCGGCUGUCUGGUCUGUAACUGACGCUGAGGCUCGAAAGUAUGGGUAGCAAACAGGAUUAGAUACCCUGGUAGUCCAUACCGUAAACGAUGAAUGCUAAGUGUUGGAGGGUUUCCGCCCUUCAGUGCUGCAGCUAACGCAUUAAGCAUUCCGCCUGGGGAGUACGGCCGCAAGGCUGAAACUCAAAGGAAUUGACGGGGGCCCGCACAAGCGGUGGAGCAUGUGGUUUAAUUCGAAGCUACGCGAAGAACCUUACCAGGUCUUGACAUACUAUGCAAAUCUAAGAGAUUAGACGUUCCCUUCGGGGACAUGGAUACAGGUGGUGCAUGGUUGUCGUCAGCUCGUGUCGUGAGAUGUUGGGUUAAGUCCCGCAACGAGCGCAACCCUUAUUAUCAGUUGCCAGCAUUAAGUUGGGCACUCUGGUGAGACUGCCGGUGACAAACCGGAGGAAGGUGGGGAUGACGUCAAAUCAUCAUGCCCCUUAUGACCUGGGCUACACACGUGCUACAAUGGAUGGUACAACGAGUUGCGAACUCGCGAGAGUAAGCUAAUCUCUUAAAGCCAUUCUCAGUUCGGAUUGUAGGCUGCAACUCGCCUACAUGAAGUCGGAAUCGCUAGUAAUCGCGGAUCAGCAUGCCGCGGUGAAUACGUUCCCGGGCCUUGUACACACCGCCCGUCACACCAUGAGAGUUUGUAACACCCAAAGUCGGUGGGGUA
rnacentral:rRNA from 1 species